GUAAACAUGGCGCCGGGCGCUAGAACGCCGAGAGUUUCCGAAAUACCAAUCUACACCCUUGAUUUUCCCCAUACUUGUGUCAUUCCCUGAAAACAGAAAUGAAUGUCAGCUCAGAGGGUCAAAUAUGAAAAUAUGGCUUCCUGGAAAGCGACAAGUGAUGCAAAAUUUGGAGUCGUUGUUUACAAUUUUGACGGAAAUAUUACGCAUGGACUGCGGUUAACCAUUGGCGAAACUGUGCACAUUUUAGAAGAAUGCGCAGGUUGGUACAGGGGAUGUACUCUACGAAACAAAUCUGUAAAGGUAAGUUCUUC